UGGGGAAUUUUGGACAAUGGGGGAAACCCUGAUCCAGCCAUCCCGCGUGUGCGAUGAAGGCCUUCGGGUUGUAAAGCACUAUUGGCAGGAAAGAAACGUCAUGGGCUAAUACCCCGUGAAACUGACGGUACCUGCAGAAUAAGCACCGGCUAACUACGUGCCAGCAGCCGCGGUAAUACGUAGGGUGCAAGCGUUAAUCGGAAUUACUGGGCGUAAAGCGUGCGCAGGCGGUUCGGAAAGAAAGAUGUGAAAUCCCAGAGCUUAACUUUGGAACUGCAUUUUUAACUACCGAGCUAGAGUGUGUCAGAGGGAGGUGGAAUUCCGCGUGUAGCAGUGAAAUGCGUAGAUAUGCGGAGGAACACCGAUGGCGAAGGCAGCCUCCUGGGAUAACACUGACGCUCAUGCACGAAAGCGUGGGGAGCAAACA
rnacentral:rRNA from 1 species